GAUGAACGCUGGCGGCGUGCCUAAUACAUGCAAGUCGAGCGAACAGAUGAGGAGCUUGCUCCUCUGACGUUAGCGGCGGACGGGUGAGUAACACGUGGAUAACCUACCUAUAGGACUGGGAUAACUUCGGGAAACCGGAGCUAAUACCGGAUAAUAUAUUGAACCGCAUGGUUCAAUAGUGAAAGACGGUUUUGCUGUCACUUAUAGAUGGAUCCGCGCCGCAUUAGCUAGUUGGUAAGGUAAAGGCUUACCAAGGCAACGAUGCGUAGCCGACCUGAGAGGGUGAUCGGCCACACUGGAACUGAGACACGGUCCAGACUCCUACGGGAGGCAGCAGUAGGGAAUCUUCCGCAAUGGGCGAAAGCCUGACGGAGCAACGCCGCGUGAGUGAUGAAGGUCUUCGGAUCGUAAAACUCUGUUAUUAGGGAAGAACAAAUGUGUAAGUAACUAUGCACGUCUUGACGGUACCUAAUCAGAAAGCCACGGCUAACUACGUG
rnacentral:rRNA from 1 species